UACGUAGGGUGCGAGCGUUAAUCGGAAUUACUGGGCGUAAAGUGUGCGCAGGCGGCCGAGCAAGUCGAGUGUGAAAGCCCCGAGCUUAACUUGGGAAUUACGCUCGAAACUACUUGGCUGGAGUGUGGCAGAGGAAGGUGGAAUUCCAGGUGUAGCGGUGAAAUGCGUAGAGAUCUGGAGGAACACCGAUGGCAAAAACAGCCUUCUAAACCAACACUGACGCUCAUGCACGAAAGCGUGGGGAGCAAACAGG
rnacentral:rRNA from 1 species